rnacentral:rRNA from 1 species
UUGAGUUUGAUCCUGGCUCAGGACGAACGCUGGCGGCGUGCCUAAUACAUGCAAGUCGAGCGGACAGAUGGGAGCUUGCUCCCUGAUGUUAGCGGCGGACGGGUGAGUAACACGUGGGUAACCUGCCUGUAAGACUGGGAUAACUCCGGGAAACCGGGGCUAAUACCGGAUGGUUGUUUGAACCGCAUGGUUCAGACAUAAAAGGUGGCUUCGGCUACCACUUACAGAUGGACCCGCGGCGCAUUAGCUAGUUGGUGAGGUAACGGCUCACCAAGGCGACGAUGCGUAGCCGACCUGAGAGGGUGAUCGGCCACACUGGGACUGAGACACGGCCCAGACUCCUACGGGAGGCAGCAGUAGGGAAUCUUCCGCAAUGGACGAAAGUCUGACGGAGCAACGCCGCGUGAGUGAUGAAGGUUUUCGGAUCGUAAAGCUCUGUUGUUAGGGAAGAACAAGUGCCGUUCAAAUAGGGCGGCACCUUGACGGUACCUAACCAGAAAGCCACGGCUAACUACGUGCCAGCAGCCGCGGUAAUACGUAGGUGGCAAGCGUUGUCCGGAAUUAUUGGGCGUAAAGGGCUCGCAGGCGGUUUCUUAAGUCUGAUGUGAAAGCCCCCGGCUCAACCGGGGAGGGUCAUUGGAAACUGGGGAACUUGAGUGCAGAAGAGGAGAGUGGAAUUCCACGUGUAGCGGUGAAAUGCGUAGAGAUGUGGAGGAACACCAGUGGCGAAGGCGACUCUCUGGUCUGUAACUGACGCUGAGGAGCGAAAGCGUGGGGAGCGAACAGGAUUUGAUACCCUGGUAGUCCACGCCGUAAACGAUGAGUGCUAAGUGUUAGGGGGUUUCCGCCCCUUAGUGCUGCAGCUAACGCAUUAAGCACUCCGCCUGGGAGAACGGAA